AGGUGUCCCAUGUGGAGGCCUUUCGACAUGUUUCAUCAAUCCUCAAAGAGUACGGACUUUGCCAUACCGGAGAUUUCUUGGACACUCUGAACCUCCGGCCUUAUGACUGCAGAAAGUCAAGCGGAGAGUCAUGCAAAGGGCUUACAGAUGCAAACAUGGCAGUUACGGGAACGGCCAAUCUGGAUGCUGCAGAGGAAAAGGCUGUGAGAAAGAAAGGAGGCGGAGGAUGGGAUCCCACAUAUACAAAGAGAAGUUUUUACCCUUAUUGGAGAUCAGUAUUACUAGCCCGGUUUCCUGUGAAGGUGUAUCCAGCCUAUGAUCCUAGGUCUGGGCUUAAACCUGGACAACUCCGUGUCUGUGUGAGUAAAAAGUUAAUGGCCAAUUCAUCUUCUCCAUCUCCAAAUCAUAAACUUGGUCCAGCGCAAAAAAUCUCGCCACUUAAAAGAAAUAACCAACCCAGAAGGUGCUUUAUCACUGCUGCUACUGGUGCAUUCAGGCUCUUGAAGGCGCUAAAGUAGAGUAGAAAGGUAUGCCAGGAGUUUUCAUCUCCCUGUCCCAAGUUUUCUGAAGAUGCCCCACAUAAACGGACACUAUUUAAGUCUGAAAUGGGUCGCGCCCUUGGAGACCGGCUGCCAUGUAAGAGGCAGCCGCUAAGGAAGCCCCUCUGUUUGCUGAGGGAUCCAUGCGGCCACUAGCUCGAGUUGUGGGGCUGUGGGGGUUCCUCAACCUCCACGUAUUGAUGCCAGGGGUGCCUUCGCCUUGCUCGUGCCGAUGACUCCCUCUGCCCUCUCUCCCUAGUUUCCUCCAUGGUUGGUGAACUCAAGGACCCCUUCAACCCGGACUUCCAUCGAGCUGCUGAAGGAUCCUUUGGAGUUCAACUGUUACGACCCUUUUACUGCACAGGCUUAAGCAAUUGUAAAUUCCAUGGUGAAAUUUUGUCACAUUCAAAGUGUAUAUGCCAAUGCGACUCAGGUUAUCGUGAUCAUUUCUGUAUUGAUCAUGGAGGAUGUAACUCAAUUUUUUAUACGUCUACCAGGGUGGAGUUUCUUUAGAAGCUUAUGCAGUAACCAUUACUCUUGCUGUUCC